rnacentral:misc_RNA from 1 species
GAUGAAGAACGUAGCGAACUGCGAUAAGUAAUGUGAAUUGCAGAAUUCAGUGAAUCAUCGAGUCUUUGAACACACAUUGCGCCCCCUGGCAUUCCGGGGGGCAUGCCUGUCCGAGCGUCAUUGCUGCCCUUCAAGCCCGGCUUGUGUGUUGGGUCGUCGUCCCCCCCGGGGGACGGGCCCGAAAGGCAGCGGCGGCACCGCGUCCGGUCCUCGAGCGUAUGGGGCUUUGUCACCCGCUCGAUUAGGGCCGGCCGGGCGCCAGCCGGCGUCUCCAACCUUCUAUUUUACCAGGUUGACCUCGGAUCAGGUAGGGAUACCCGCUGAACUUAAGCAUAUCAAUAAGCGGAGGA